UGGUGAAAUCCCAAGGCUCAACCUUGGAACUGCCAUCAAAACUUUUUAGCUAGAGUGUGAUAGAGGUAAGUGGAAUUUCUAGUGUAGAGGUGAAAUUCGUAGAUAUUAGAAAGAACACCAAAUGCGAAGGCAACUUACUGGGUCACUAWUGACACUGAGGAGCGAAAGCAUGGGUAGCGAAGAGGAUUAGAUACCCUCGUAGUCCAUGCCGUAAACUAUGUGUGCUAGACGUUGGGAAUAUAUUUUUCAGUGUCGCAGCGAAAGCAUUAAGCACACCGCCUGGGGAGUACGACCGCAAGGUUAAAACUCAAAUGAAUUGACCCGCACAAGCAGUGGAGCAUGUGGUUUAAUUCGAAGAUACGCGCAGAACCUUACCAACACUUGACAUGUUCGUCGCGAGACUAAGAGAUUAGUCUUUUCAGUUCGGCUGGACGAAACACA
rnacentral:rRNA from 1 species